rnacentral:rRNA from 1 species
UACGUAGGGUCCAAGCGUUAUCCGGAAUCACUGGGCGUAAAGCGUGCGUAGGUGGCGUGUUAAGUGAGAUGUGAAACCGUGUGGCUCAACCAUACGUUGUGUCUCAUACUGGCAUGCUAGAGGACAGCAGAGGCAAGUGGAAUUACGAGUGUAGCAGUGAAAUGCGUAGAUAUUCGUAGGAACACCAAUGGCGAAGGCAGCUUGCUGGGCUACUCCUGACACUGAGGUACGAAAGCGUGGGGAGCGAACAGG